rnacentral:lncRNA from 1 species
AUGAGAAAUGGAUUUAUAACUUAACACAGUGUCUUUGGCUUCUGACUCGGACCCUUUCCUGAUAAUUCCCCACUCCACUUUGUAUUGCAGUGGCAUCUGAUCCCUGCCUUGAUAUCUUCAGGGAGCUCAGAACUCAGAUCUUAAAAUGGCAAAGGAUGUAGCAUUUCCUGGAAUGGCUCAUGACAGAUAUUCUUCCUCUGAGUACUAGUUUAGACUUACAGUGGGAGGAAAUCCCAGCAGAUAACAGGAAAAAAUAGUUUUGAUUUUAAGAAGAAAAGAGCUUAAAAGGAAACAGGAAGCUGAUGUUGGCAGUCUGACCUGUGCUGCAUGAGGAAUCUGAUUUCAAAAGCCUUCCCAAAUGCAGGCUUAAGGGAUGCAAACUGCCAUGACGUUUGCAGCAAUUGAGGAAUUCUGUCAUUGGCUCACACUGCUCUCUCUUUUAUAGGAAAGUGAAAGCAUAAGACUUAGUAUGUCACUGUUAUGUGCUUAUGCAUUCUUGAUCCUACAAAAACUGCAAAAAAAAAAAGACUAUGAAAAGGUCAGAGUCCACCAAGAAAUGCAGGUGUUCAGCAGAGCUCUGGAAGCGAAUAGGAGGAGGUCACCAGUGCUAUGGCUGAAGCUUUUCAUGAAUUUCCAUAGAAUCUUAAUGAGUUCUAAAGAACGUUGCUCUUAUUUCUGAAACCGUUCAUUUUGAUCUCUUUUAGAACUAAGAGGCUAGUAACAGAUAACUUAUUUGUACAGAGCCUUGUUUUGAAACAGCACAUUGAAAAAAAAAAAAUGAAACCUCAGUCUGCAGCACCUGACUUGGAUUUCUGAAGAACUCUGUCACCUUCCAUCCACUCUGGUGUGUCUGUGGAGUCACGUACUGGGGCUGAGGCAAACACAAUGUUGUGUUUCCUUCUGUUUCACCUGCUUUUACUCAUUGUUUUCUUGGAUUAUUUUUUCUGGCAUUUCUCCUGAGCGCUGCGAAGGUACAUGGAAAACAAACACGACUGCUGACAGUCAACAUGGCUUCACUAAUGGCAAAUUGCACCUGACAAAUUUGGUGGCCGCCUUUGACAGGGUGACAGCAUUGGGAGAGAAGCUGAAAGAAAACUCAUCUGAACCAGGGAGUCGGGAGAGCCACGCUGACGUUCCUUCCUGUGCCUAUCAGUGUUGAUGAGUUCAGGACUGAAUCAAAAGGCAUCCCUGAGCUACCUGCUGGCCACAGUAGUGCCCUACAGCAGAAAAGGUUUAUGCCUUGACACCAGAUGCAAACAGGCACGUGUGCUCUCCCCAGACACGUGCUGUUGUGUUAACUUGCAUAUGUGGAUUUGGACGAUGCGUUGUGGGCAGUGCUGUGAGCAAGCAUGGGAGGCAGUGCAUGGCCUGGCUUGCUUCAAGUUUGGUACAGGAGUGCUGCGUGUUGCAUGCUGUGUGUGAGAAGGGUGGGGUAGCUGCAAGGAGCUGCUG